GCUAUUUUAGUUUAUUUUAAAAUAUGUGAUUUGUAAUCAUGGGUAAUUGUGUAGCU
rnacentral:tRNA from 3 species